rnacentral:misc_RNA from 1 species
AAGUCGUAACAAGGUAUCCGUAGGUGAACCUGCGGAUGGAUCAUUAAAAAAGAUUUACAAAAGUCUUGUGAACUGUUUUGAGUAGGGUGUUAUAGUUAGUUAACUCCAACUAUCACUCACUUUACACGUAUAUAACCUUAAACUAACGUCUACUUUAGUAGUAAAUCAAUCUAAAGACAACUUUUAGCAACGGAUCUCUAGGCUCUC